UUAUGUUGGCGAUGUAUCAAUUAAAUUUCUGCACUAUUAACUUUUGAUGUAAGUGUAUUGUACUUACAUGGUUUUGAUGGUUAACGGAGGAUUAGGGUUUGAUUCCGGAGAGGGAGCCUGAGAAAUGGCUACCACAUCCAAGGAAGGCAGCAGGCGCGCAAAUUACCCAAUCUCAAUACGAGGAGGUAGUGACAAUAAAUAACAAUGCAGGGCUUUUUAAGUCUUGCAAUUGGAAUGAGUACAAUUUAAAACCCUUAACGAGAAACAAUUGGAGGGCAAGUCUGGUGCCAGCAGCCGCGGUAAUUCCAGCUCCAAUAGCGUAUAUUUAUGUUGUUGCAGUUGAAAAGCUCGUAGUUGGAUUUGAGGUUUAGGGAUAUGGUCUCAUCUUCGGAUGUUGUACUGUAUUUCUUUAUCUUUUACAUGAGAAGGUAUUCUGUUCUUUAUUGGAUGGUUUAUUGACUCAUGUCUUUUACUUUGAAAAAAUUAGAGUGUUCAAAGCAGGCUUAUGCCUUGAAUACAUUAGCAUGGAAUAAUAAGAUAGGACUUUUGUCUAUUUUGUUGGUUUUUAUGGACUGAAGUAAUGAUUAAUAGGGGCAGUUGGGGACAUUAAUAUUUAAUUGUCAGAGGUGAAAUUCUUGGAUUUAUUAAAGAUUAACUACUGCGAAAGCAUUUGUCAAGGAUGUUUUCAUUAAUCAAGAACGAAAGUUGGGGGAUCGAAGACGAUCAGAUACCGUCGUAGUCUCAACCAUAAACUAUGCCGACGAGAAAUUAGUGAAUGUUUAUUCAUUGACUUCAUUAGCUUCUUCCGAGAAAUCAAAGUUUUUGGGUUCUGGGGGGAGUAUGGUCGCAAGGCUGAAACUUAAAGGAAUUGACGGAAGGGCACCACCAGGAGUGGAGCCUGCGGCUUAAUUUGACCCAACACGGGAAAACUUACCAGGUCCAGACAUAAGAAGGAUUGACAGAUUGAGAGCUCUUUCUUGAUUUUAUGGGUGGUGGUGCAUGGCCGUUCUUAGUUGGUGGAGUGAUUUGUCUGCUUAAUUGCGAUAACGAACGAGACCUUAACCUACUAAAUAGCUACGUGAAACCUAGCUUCAUGGCCAGCUUCUUAGAGGGACUAUAUAAGUCAAUUAUAUGGAAGUUUGAGGCAAUAACAGGUCUGUGAUGCCCUUAGAUGUUCUGGGCCGCACGCGCGCUACACUGACGA
rnacentral:rRNA from 1 species